rnacentral:rRNA from 1 species
AAUCAACGCUGGCGGCGCGCCUAACACAUGCAAGUCGCACGAGAAAAGGGCAACCUGAGUAAAGUGGCGCACGGGUGAGUAACACGUGGGUAAUCUACCUAAUGGUGGGGAAUAACCCUGGGAAACCGGGGCUAAUACCGCAUAAGCCCGCAAGGGGAAAGCAGCAAUGCGCCGAUAGAGGAGCCCGCGGCCGAUUAGCUAGUUGGUGAGGUAAUGGCUCACCAAGGCUACGAUCGGUAGCCGGCCUGAGAGGGCACACGGCCACACUGGCACUGAAACACGGGCCAGACUCCUACGGGAGGCAGCAGUGGGGAAUCUUGCACAAUGGGGGAAACCCUGAUGCAGCGACGCCGCGUGAGCGAUGAAGCCCUUCGGGUGUAAGCUCUUUCGACGGGAACGAUUAUGACGGUACCCGGAGAAGAAGCUGCGGCUAACUACGUGCCA